rnacentral:rRNA from 1 species
AUGGGAACGCGAAGAACCUUACCUACUCUUGACAUCCAGAGAACUUAGCAGAGAUGCUUUGGUGCCUUCGGGAACUCUGAGACAGGUGCUGCAUGGCUGUCGUCAGCUCGUGUUGUGAAAUGUUGGGUUAAGUCCCGCAACGAGCGCAACCCUUAUCCUUUGUUGCCAGCGGUCCGGCCGGGAACUCAAAGGAGACUGCCAGUGAUAAACUGGAGGAAGGUGGGGAUGACGUCAAGUCAUCAUGGCCCUUACGAGUAGGGCUACACACGUGCUACAAUGGCGCAUACAAAGAGAAGCGACCUCGCGAGAGCAAGCGGACCUCAUAAGGUGCGUCGUAGUCCGGAUUGGAGUCUGCAACUCGACUCCAUGAAGUCGGAAUCGCUAGUAAUCGUAGAUCAGAAUGCUACGGUGAAUACGUUCCCGGGUCUUGUACACACCG